rnacentral:rRNA from 1 species
GCCUACGGGGGGCAGCAGUGGGGAAUAUUGCGCAAUGGGCGAAAGCCUGACGCAGCGACGCCGCGUGAGGGAUGAGGGUCUUCGGAUCGUAAACCUCUGUCAGCAGGGAAGAACGGUCACUGUGCUAAUCAGCAGUGAAUUGACGGUACCUGCAAAGGAAGCACCGGCUAACUCCGUGCCAGCAGCCGCGGUAAUACGGAGGGGGCGAGCGUUAAUCGGAAUUACUGGGCGUAAAGCGCUCGUAGGCGGUAUGUCAAGUCAAGGGGGAAAUCCCCGCGCUCAACGUGGGAACUGCCUUUGAAACU